rnacentral:misc_RNA from 1 species
UCCUGGUUAACCCAGGCAGUCUCAUUAGAGGGCCCAACUUCACUUGAUGGCAACUAAUGACAAGGGUUGCGCUCGUUGCGGGACUUAACCCAACACCUCACGGCACGAGCUGACGACAGCCAUGCAGCACCUGUGCAUAUGUCCCUUGCGGGAAAACUGUAUCUCUACAGCGGUCAUAUGCAUUUCAAACCCAGGUAAGGUUCUUCGCGUUGCAUCGAAUUAAACCACAUGCUCCACUGCUUGUGCGGGUCCCCGUCAAUUCUUUUGAGUUUUACCCUUGCGAGCGUACUCCUCAGGCGGUAUACUUAUCGCGUUAGCUACGGCACAGUAGGGGUUGAGUCCUACUACGCCAAGUAUACAUCGUUUAGGGCAAGGACUAC